UACGGAGGGAGCUAGCGUUAUUCGGAAUUACUGGGCGUAAAGCGCACGUAGGCGGCUUUGUAAGUAAGAGGUGAAAGCCCAGAGCUCAACUCUGGAAUUGCCUUUUAGACUGCAUCGCUUGAAUCAUGGAGAGGUCAGUGGAAUUCCGAGUGUAGAGGUGAAAUUCGUAGAUAUUCGGAAGAACACCAGUGGCGAAGGCGGCUGACUGGACAUGUAUUGACGCUGAGUGCGAAAGCGUGGGGAGCAAACAGG
rnacentral:rRNA from 1 species